rnacentral:rRNA from 1 species
AUUGAACGCUGGCGGCAGGCCUAACACAUGCAAGUCGAGCGGAUGAAGGGAGCUUGCUCCUGGAUUCAGCGGCGGACGGGUGAGUAAUGCCUAGGAAUCUGCCUGGUAGUGGGGGAUAACGUCCGGAAACGGGCGCUAAUACCGCAUACGUCCCGAGGGAGAAAGUGGGGGAUCUUCGGACCUCACGCUAUCAGAUGAGCCUAGGUCGGAUUAGCUAGUUGGUGGGGUAAAGGCCUACCAAGGCGACGAUCCGUAACUGGUCUGAGAGGAUGAUCAGUCACACUGGAACUGAGACACGGUCCAGACUCCUACGGGAGGCAGCAGUGGGGAAUAUUGGACAAUGGGCGAAAGCCUGAUACAGCCAUGCCGCGUGUGUGAAGAAGGUCUUCGGAUUGUAAAGCACUUUAAGUUGGGAGGAAGGGCAGUAAGUUAAUACCUUGCUGUUUUGACGUUAACAACAGAAUAAGCACCGGCUAACUUCGUG